GUUCAGCUUGCUUAGUGGCAGGAAAUAGUUAAAUGGCAGUAGUGUCUGAGGAACAGGAUGCUUUCUGCUGUCAUGUGUCACAGUGUCAUCAACUCUCUCUGAACUUACCCAGCAGGUUGCUGUCAGCACAAACACACCCAAACUAACACACACAUGCACAAAUGCGCACGCACAGAGGCCCAGCCGGGAUUACUGUCAGAAUGUUAAAGAUGGGGUGGAGGAGUGUAAUCUGAUACAGGACAGGUAUAAACAUACAGGACAAGUAUUAAUCACUGUUUCCCUUGGCAACUGCUUUGUUUAAAUAACACUAACACUGCAACAUAGUUGAGUGCAUGUAGCAAAAUUAACAAACUAGUUAGUUGAAUGUGGAAGGGCGUGAGCAUGCGUAUACGUUAUCAGGUGUCUCUUCCAACUAAAUGUUUAUUUCAUCUUCCUAGGUAUUACUCUUAAGGAACGGUUCUCAGUUAGACAUUGUGUCAUUCAUGGCAAACACUUUCACAAUUACUCUUCUAGUUAUUUGCCUUGGCCUAGUGUUUGCCUUGCUUUGGGCUUGUUGAUAAAGUUUCACAAACCAUUAGUUUACCUCCAAAGACCUCAAUGAACAAUCAUCCAUUGUGCCCUUCACCUUUCACCCAUAUUACUACAAAUGAGAAUGCAUGAUUUGUUUGGUGGAGGAUUAUUUUUAAAUGUAUUAUCAAUCAUCAUUACUGGCUACAUCUUUUAGACUUGCAAUUUAAAGAAUUCCAUACAUUCACUGUGUAUUAUUGCAUGCUGUGUUGUCAGUCAGAGGUUUCUAAUGCUGUGCAUAUUGAGAAAAGGGAGCCUGUUAAAAAAAGACCAGCACAUGAUUAUCAGUAAACCUCACACCCAUUAAUCCACAGCCCUCAAAAUUUCACAAGAUGACUUACUGAGCUUGCUCUACCUAAACUACAGUAUCUCUUGUCUUUGUGUGUUGCUCUAAGUAAAACAAACUUAAGUAAUUGAUAUGUUGCAAUGACAAAUUUAGAGCAACACAUAAACAUGCAUUUUCAGCCCCCCGGCCUCAGUCCAGACUACUGAUUUCGUAGGAGCACCUCAGGUCAGCUAUAAGAAGUUAUUUUGUGAAAUGACAGCCGUUUGAUAUUUUAAGUAGAUAUUGUGAGCCAAUGUAAAAAUAAAAUCCCAAAUUAAGUGUCUUUUAAAAUAUACCAGUUGGACAAUGAAAAAGCUUAUAGUAUAUAUAAAGCCGUGCUGAACUGCAUAAAAUAAUAAAACAUUUAACCCACUUAACCCCUCAAUUACCUCAGUUAUUGGCACACUCAUUACAGAAAUAAUGCAAACAAUCCACCAUUUUAGUAAAAAGUUUGGCCGCUAUUUUUUCAAUAAAAUAAUUAGGGCAAGAUAUUAGUGCAAAUAGUUAUAUUCUCCUGCGCAACUUAUUGUCUUACACAACAUUAGUCUUGGAAACAUUACAGUUACUAAGAAGAUAUCUGGUUGACUUUUGUUGACUUUUUUCUUAAUUUCUUCACUCCACUCUGCUAUAGCUGGUCACCUCAUCAUCCUCCGGUCCAAGCUACGGAGCUUUGGAGACAGGGCUUUCUCUAGGGCUGCUCCAAGGCUUUGGAACUCACUUCCACAAUCAAACCGUACCCCUAGCCCCUGCCCUUUCCUUUUGUCCAGUAUCAUGCUUGGGUCCUUUUCUUUAAGUUUGUCUGUGUAUUGCCCAUACCCUCUCCUCGGAUGUUGUUUGUUUUGUACCAGAUGUAAUGCAUGUUCCACCCAUCUUCAUCCGCUUCAUCCGGGGCCGGGUCGCGGGGGCAGCAGUCUAAGCAGAGAUGCCCAGACUUCCCUCUCCCCAGACACUUCCUCCAGCUCUUCCGGGGGGACACAGAGGCGUUCCCAGGCCAGCCGGGAGACAUAGUCCCUCCAGCGUGUCCUAGGUCUUCCCCGGGGUCUCCUCCCGGUGGGACGGCGUUCCGGAGGCAUCCGAAACAGAUGCCCAAGCCACUUCAGCUGACCCCUCUCCAUGUGGAGGAGCAGCGGCUCUACUCUGAGCUCAUCCCGGGUGACCGAGCUUCUCACCCUAUCUCUAAGGGAUCACCCAGCCACCCUGCGGAGAAAGCUCAUUUCGGCCG
ensembl:lncRNA